rnacentral:tRNA from 1 species
GGAUUGUGGCUCAGCGGUAGAGUGCUCGCCUAGCAUGCACGGGGCCCUGGGUUUGACCCUCAGCACCA